UACGUAGGGGCUAGCGUUAUCCGGAAUUACUGGGCGUAAAGGGCGCGUAUGUGGUUUCUUAAGUCAGAGGUGAAAGGCUACGGCUCAACCGUAGUAAGCCUUUGAAACUGGGGAACUUGAGUGCAGGAGAGGAGAGUAGAAUUCCUAGUGUAGCGGUGAAAUGCGUAGAUAUUAGGAGGAAUACCAGUUGCGAAGGCGGCUCUCUGGACUGUAACUGACACUGAGGCACGAAAGCGUGGGGAGCAAACAGGAUUAGAUACCCGGGUAGUCCCUGAGCGGG
rnacentral:rRNA from 1 species